rnacentral:rRNA from 1 species
ACACGACUACAUUAGAUACCCCGGUAGUCCCAGCCCUAAACGAUGCGCGUUAGGUGUAUCGGUGACCACGAGUCACCGAGGUGCCGGAGAGAAGUUGUUAAGUCUGCUACUUGGGAGUACGUCCGCAAGGAUGAAACUUAAAGGAAUUGGCGGGGGAGCACCGCAACGGGAGGAGCGUGCGGUUUAAUUGGAUUCAACACCGUAAACUCACCAGGGAAGACUGUUACAUGAAGGCCGAGAUGAAGACUCUGCCAGAUUUUCAG